CAGCCGCCACGGUAAUACGAAGGGUGCAAGCGUUAAUCGGAAUUACUGGGCGUAAGGGGUGCGUAGGCGGUUGUUUAAGUCUGUUGUGAAAUCCCCGGGCUCAACCUGGGAAUGGCAAUGGAAACUGGACGGCUAGAGUGUGUCAGAGGAUGGUGGGAUUCCCGGUGUAGCGGUGAAAUGCGUAGAGAUCGGGAGGAACAUCAGUGGCGAAGGCGGCCCCCUGGACAAAGACUGACGCUCAGGUGCGAAAGCGUGGGGAGCAAACAGGAUUAGAUACCCCCGUAGUCCCUGUCUCUUAUAA
rnacentral:rRNA from 1 species